rnacentral:rRNA from 1 species
CAGCAGCCGCGGUAAUACGAAGGGGGCUAGCGUUGCUCGGAAUGACUGGGCGUAAAGGGCGCGUAGGCGGUUUGUACAGUCAGAUGUGAAAUUCCUGGGCUCAACCUGGGGGCUGCAUUUGAUACGUGCGAGCUAGAGUGGGGAAGAGGGUCGUGGAAUUCCCAGUGUAGAGGUGAAAUUCGUAGAUAUUGGGAAGAACACCGGUGGCGAAGGCGGCGACCUGGUCCUUGACUGACGCUGAGGCGCGAAAGCGUGGGGAGCAAACAGGAUUAGAUACCCGUGUAGUCCCUGUCUCUUAUAC